UUUUUUUUAACGUGCAACUGAACGGCUCCUUUACGCUUCCCACAGCUGCAUGUUGCCGGGCUCCCACACCUGCUGUAAACUUGAGGUCCGAGGUGCCGCGCAGGAGGCUCUCGCUUCAAUGUGCUCUUUUCCCCCUCUGCUGUUCUCGCAAGACUUGAUCGCUUCGGGGCAUAGAUUUUUGCUCUUCUGUGUGAACACAAGCUAAAGUGGAAAUUCCCACCUGAGGUGUCAGCAUCAUCAUCAUCAUCAUGGAAAACUAUCUGGAGUAUAAUUCUUGCUAAAGGGCCUGAGGAGAAUGAACUUCGAUGGGAAAAAGAAGAAUGGGAAAGAUGAUUUGGAGAUUGGAGCAGACAUAGAAUCCCAUAACAAGAGAAGCAAAAUAACAAAGAAGGAUCAGGGACAAAAAUUAUCUUCUAAAGGCCUAUCUAGGAUUGACCUUGUAGUUGUAGAUUGGCUAAAGUAGCAGCUAUGCUAUAUACGUAUGGAUCCAUUUAACUAUACCAAUGACUACAUUUGAUGAGGCACGAAAAGCCUUGCAGCUAAAGAAAGCUGGUGUUCUGGAGGUUUAGUGGAAUUCCUUCUGUUCUGAUGACCUAGCUUUGCUGCCAUGGGGGCCACAGAUUGUCGGAGAAUUCUGAGUGAGAUAUAAGACCCUUCAACCCAGAGGAAACCUGGUAACAAUGUCUGGUUCAGCUCCUCAUCUUCCUUAAGGGCUCC
rnacentral:lncRNA from 1 species